CUGAGUGGUAGGCAUAGGGUUAAGGCAUAGAAAAUAUAAUGAACAGAAGUCAAUGGAAAGUCCGCACAAAGAUAUAAAAACAAACAUGUGUGUGUUUGUGUGUGUAGCAACAGGCUGUUUCACCAUCCUAAGAGUGUUACAAGAAAUGUCUUACACCCUCCAAACAGCCAACAGACGAUUUAAGCAUCAACAGCCUGUGUGACUGAGAUAAGCCCUCUACUUCACUUUGAGGACGCUUGCACGCUUUGACAGCCCACUCUGUAAUUUUAGUGUCAGACUCAUCUAAUGCAUUGAGAAUGAGCAGUCUGAACAGACCCUCCAGAAUAACACCAUUAACUUGACAUGCUCAUCUCCACAGUGACCUUUGGGAAGUGCUCUACGGGGUAAGGAUCUGCAGAUAAAUGCUACCAUUCCAGUGUUUCACAGAAGAAAGAAAUUCACACUGGUUCAGAACAACAUAAAGAUCAGUUGAUUACUGGUACCAAUCCAUGUGUUGGAGGGCUUCUGUGCUCAGGUAGCCCAUCUCCCUCAGACAGCCAUCAUGGAAGACCCGUGUGCACAUCCGGCAGGGGAACAGAUCAUCUGCUGUCCACACCUCACAAACCUCACACAUCUCAUCGUUGACAGGCUGAUUGCAAAACAAUGG